rnacentral:rRNA from 1 species
UGGGCGCCUCCUAAAGUGUAACGGAGGCGCCCAAAGGUUCCCUCAGAAUGGUUGGAAAUCAUUCGUAGAGUGCAAAGGCAUAAGGGAGCUUGACUGCGAGACCUACAAGUCGAGCAGGGACGAAAGUCGGGCUUAGUGAUCCGGUGGUUCCGCAUGGAAGGGCCAUCGCUCAACGGAUAAAAGCUACCCCGGGGAUAACAGGCUUAUCUCCCCCAAGAGUCCACAUCGACGGGGAGGUUUGGCACCUCGAUGUCGGCUCAUCGCAUCC